rnacentral:rRNA from 1 species
GAGUUUGAUCCUGGCUCAGAAUGAACGCUGGCGGCGUGGAUUAGGCAUGCAAGUCGAACGGACGUGGCAACACGUUAGUGGCGAACUGGUCAGUACAAGUUGGGCAACUUGCCCGGAAGCGGGGGAUAACGUUCCGAAAGGAGCGCUAAUACCGCAUGUGGUGCGGGGGACUUCGGACCCCUUCACUAAAGACUUCGGUCACUUCCGGAUGGGCCCGACCCCCAUUAGCUAGUUGGUAGGGUAACGGCCUACCAAGGCUACGAUGGGUAGGUGGCCUGAGAGGGUGGUCACCGACACGAGGACUGAGAUACGGCCUCGACACCUACGGGUGGCUGC